rnacentral:ncRNA from 1 species
AGAAAUACAAAGAUAGGAAAUAGUAGGUAGUGUAGAAAGCAUAGAGAGGCUCUGGAUGGUGUAAAGAGUCAUGACUUCAUUAUUGAACUCGUCCUUGAGUGGAGCACUGAAACAUGUGGAGUAAGCUGCUACGGAACUUGCGACCGUUAUCACGCUAGAGUAUGAACUUAUUGAUAAGCGUACUUGAUAAGGUUAUUACUGUGAGGUAAUAAUGAAUAUGAGGUGGAACCACGAAGUGAUUAACUCUCGUCCUCUAU